AGCGCAAAUAUGACCCAGAGUAUGUCAAAUAUGGAUUUACGUACAUCAAGGAUAAAUCGGCCCGCGUUAGAUAAGAAAGUUUAAAAAGCUAAACACAAGGGUGACGAGGGUAUUUUUUGUCAAUACCCCAAACUAUGCUCCGUUAAGGGGGGCACAUCAAAAACGCAUCACAUCAAAAACAUCACAAACACAUAUGGGAGGGUGGAAGGGAGUUGGGAAGGGGAGGUGUGACAACUCAGACACCGGGAGGCGGACGCAGCCAACAGGCGCAUCACAUCACUCACGGCAUAUUGUGCUGCAACGAGGGAAGGGGAGGGGGAGGGAGUCCAGUAGGCGGUGAGUCCAGGGGGUGUGUGUGUAAUCUGUCUUGUGUGCGUGUGUGUGUGUGAGCUCAAGGACUCCAUCUCCACCCAGACUCAACAGUGUCUCUCCCGUCUGAUGCUGGUGACGAGGACACGGCCGUCGCCGUGGAGACAACCACGAAGAGUUCCGAACCAGAGACAAAGUUCACAGGAGGUGGAGGAUGGGGGGAAGGGUGGCAGGGCAUCUGUCUGCAUAACAACCAGGGGAGUGGAGAGAUAUCAGCCUUCCAAGGCCGAAAUGGGGGAGCCGAAUAAAGAUAACGAUUGCUUUGGGUCAGGCCGACUCUGCAAUUUUUCGCCAACCUUAAAGUCUCUCUGAUACUCUCUGUAGUGUUCCAUUUCCAGAAUCCAAAAAGCCAAAUUAGCCGAAAUUCGUGGCCCGUUUAAGCCCGGUCCAACUUCACCAGAACGGUAUCCAAUUUGCGAUUUUGUUCGCACAACGCAUGAGUCUGUGUGUCGGCCACCCGGCACAAUCCAACAAUGAUGGGCAGCUUCUCAAAAGCCGAAUAUGCUGCCAUCGCCUUACUAGCUUUGCGAUAGAACAGGAACCCGCAACCUCCGAACAGCAGGAAUCCUGUUAUCAUCAUCCCAAUUAUGUAGACGUCUUCAACAUCCUCGACGGAAAGUAUGGCGAGACACAAGGGCCUCCACUCCUUCCAGGAGUCCAUCAUGUAUCCCGCUGCGAACGUUCCGUCAGGGCAGGCGGGCUCUCCUUGGCCCUGUUUUCUCGUCGAGAAAAUUUGAUCAAUAGCGUUGAGAGACCAGGAUGUCCGAUAUUGGCUUUUUUGCCGAUAUCCGAUAUGCGAUAUUGUCCAACUCUAAAUUUUCGAUUCCGAUAUCAGCCGAUACCGAUGUCGAUAUUUGGGUUAUUUUUCCCCAAACCUAAUUUAGGUAACAUUACAUAUCUCCUGUUGUGGAAUUAACACAACAUGCUUAAUGUUAUUGUGAUGCCCCACUGGAUGCAUUCUUGAAUGCAACAAGGCUUUCCAAAUGUUAACAUUGUCUGUGCAAAAUAAGAAAAAUACUUUAUUUUU